rnacentral:rRNA from 1 species
AAUGCGUAGAUAUCAGGAGGAACACCGGUGGUGUAGACGGCUUACUGGACCAUAACUGACGCUGAGACACGAAAGCGUGGGUAGCAAACAGGAUUAGAUACCCCGGUAGUCCACGCCCUAAACGAUGCAUAUUUGGUGUGGGUCAUUCAUUUGAUCCGUGCCGGAGCUAACGCGUUAAAUAUGCCGCCUGGGGAGUACAGUCGCAAGGCUGAAACUCAAAGGAAUUGACGGGGGCCCGCACAAGCGGUGGAGCAUGUGGUUUAAUUCGACGCAACGCGAAGAACCUUACCUGGGCUCGAACGGCUUUGGACCAUCUCUGGAAACAGGGACUUCUCGCAAGAGACUGAAGUCGAGGUGCUGCAUGGCUGUCGUCAGCUCGUGUCGUGAGAUGUUGGGUUAAGUCCCGCAACGAGCGCAACCCUUGUCCUGUGUUGCCAUAAAUGGAACUCGCAGGAGACCGCCAGGGAUAACCUGGAGGAAGGUGGGGAUGACGUCAAGUCCUCAUGGCCUUUAUGUCCAGGGCUACACACGUGCUACAAUGGACGGUACAGAGCGCUGCAAACCCGCGAGGGGGAGCCAAUCGCAAAAAACCGUUCUCAGUUCGGAUUGCAGGCUGCAACUCGCCUGCAUGAAGCUGGAAUCGCUAGUAAUGCUAUAUCAGAACGAUAGCGUGAAUACGUUCCCGGGCCUUGUACACACCGCCCGUCACAUCACGAAAGUGGAUUGUACUAGAAGUCUGCAGGCUGACCCGCAAGGGAGGCAGCGGCCCAAG